GGGGACAAAGACAAGAGUGGGAGAAAUGCAUUUUCAUAAAUGAAGGAGAAGUGGAGUCCAUAAUUAGCUCAGCUGUUCCGAAACUGCCUAUGACUUCAUGGACAGAGGAGACAGAGGCUACUCCUUCAGACUAGUCCCACAAUGAGAAGAGGUGCGGAGCUGUGGUUAAUCCACCAUGACAUGAGCCACGAGGGAGAAAUGGACCUCUGCUCUUGUAAGCUAAGGUAAUUUUCUCUGUUACUUCAGCAUAGCCCUGCCUAAUCUGACUGCUACUGAAAGCUAGGAUGGUUACACAUCAAUGAGUAAAUGCAAUUCUGAUGGGGCUGAUUAACAAGAAAUGUGGAGAAUCCUUCCCUCAAGAGAAAACCAGCAGCUGGAACUCAAUAGGACAGGCAAUGAUUGUAAUCCAACGGUUCUGCACCAGAUAAGUACUCACUGCUUGUUAUAUUUUAUGUAUAUAUUUGUGCACUUAUCUAUUUCAAUUAGCAAAGAGAAGAAUAAAAGUAAUUAUUUGAAUGGAGAAAUAAAUAAUGAAAAAUCGUUGUCUAUUACUUUAUUAUUUUCCAUCCAUGCAAUACGAUUCAUGUAAAUUUACCUCCUCUCAGAAAGCGGGCAGUUUCAGGGAAGGAAAAGCCCAACACAAUGUGUCAGCCUGUGACCUCAAGGUAGGGUUUUUCUGUCAUUCAUUCAUAAUAUUUUCCAGUCCUGUCACUUACUAUUUCCAUUCCUGAAGAUGCAUUGUAUUGCUUUUGCCUUUUGUCUUUAUUCACUUGUGUGACUGCUCUCACUACACUAGCACUUCUUUACUGUUACUCAUUUGUGAAGGAGGCAGAAGCUGCCCAAGGGAAGUGAUGAUGGGUGAUAGCUAAUACUUUAAAGUAUUGGUUUAAUGGUUCUCAGACACUGGUAUGAGUUUCCCAAGGAUGAUCUCAUUUAAAUCCUUGCAACAACCCUGUGAGGUAGGAAACUGAGGCACAGAGUUAAAGUCAUACAGUCAUAUAGUGAGUGGCAGAGCCUGGACUUAAGAACCUAGAAAGUUGGAAUUAGGAGCCAUGGAGGCAUUUUCUAGCCCUGGGCCUGUCGAUAAUGAGUGGUACAAAUUUGAGCAAUUUCUUAUCUCUGGGCCUCACUUUUUCAUGUUUCCAAUAAGAAGGGUUGACUAGGGGAAUCUCCCAGCUGUAAAACUCUAUAAAUCUGUGGACUAUUAAAUGACUAUGUUUAAAUCAUCUAACAUAUUGUGCAAAAGAGCUGUGACAUAUUAGAAAGGCUACAAGUUUUGUUGUGACCAAAGCUGCGAUGUCUGGCAAGUCUCUUAACCUUACUCAACCUGCUUUCUUAUGUGUAAAUUGUCCAUAAUGUCUAUCUCAGAAAUUUGGUGUCAUGUCUAAAUGAGAUAAUAUUCAUUGGAGUUCUUUGAUAAUUUUAAGGAACAAUAUAACAAAAGAAAUUAUCAUUGUGUAAAGGACAAUAUUCUUCAUUCUUUCGUUGAGCCAUCCGUUCCUCCAGCCAUCCAUGCAUCCAUUAAAUAUUUAUUAAAUGCCAUUUGCAAAGGUGAAGAGUAGGGUUUCCUUCCUACAAGGAGCUCAUAGUCUAAGUGGGAGACAGAUAUACAAGCGAACAAUUACCUCACAAAGUGAUAAAUGCACAUGGGAGCCAGGUUGAAACACAAUUAGUUCCUAUAUGAAACGCUUAAGGUGGCCUGAAGCAGUCAGGGAAGUUUCACAUAGGAGGCAACAUUUCAAAUGAGACCCAAAGCUGUUAAUCAUGUAAGUAUGUGUGGAUGUGGGGGGGCCACAUGGGGGUUGUGCUAAGAGAGGAAGUAGAAUAUGCAACGAUCUGGACCUGGAAGACAGCAAAGCAUAACCAAGCACUUACAAGUAGGUUAGGAAGCCUGGUAUGCAAACUCGAAAGUGGUGAGAGCAGGAGGGCAAAGAGGUAGGUGGAGCUAUGUCGUCAGGGGUCUUAUAUACCAUGUUGGGGAGGUUAAAUUUUAGCUCCUAGGAGGUCAGCAUCUAUGGAAGGAUUUUAAGGAGAGGAAUGUCACUAAAUUCACACACUAAAAAUAUCAGUCCAGCAGUGCUGUGGAGGAGGGAGUGGAGGGAAUGAGACGAGAGCCAAAAUUGAUGACAGUGGUUUGGUCAUAAGAAGUCCUGAAACUGCAGCCAUGAGAGACCCUGAGCCUGCGUGGGUACCAAUGUGGGAAGAGAAAGGGACAAGAGUCCACCAAUUAGGCUGGUAAGGCUCACUCAGAGACGGCUAAAAUUGGGUCAUUAUUGGGAAUUCACCAUACAUGCUCUACACCAUCCUCCGUCCUGCUCUGAGCUGGUACCCAGGGAAGCACCAGUGAUAAGAGGAAUUUGAUAGGGGGGUAUAUAAAUUCGAUCUUGCUUUGGUCAUUACUUUCAGCCUGGUUUCCCUUUUAAACCAAUCCUCAGCAGAACUAACAUCAAAC
ensembl:lncRNA